CUUGCUGUUGAUAAGUCCGUCGAUAAUUCAUCAUAAACUAAAGGAACACAGGUCAGAUUCGAACAACGACUUCAAAGUCAUUCGCAGAAUAGGCUAAACAAUUGGACGACGGAUACACUGGAUGAUAAUGUAGAUGGUCCAGGAUUAUCAGGGAAGGAUACUACAGGUGCUGAACACAGAAAACCGUUUAAAGAAAACAACUGGAGUUUGUGAGAGCUUCAAGGAAUUAAUCCUGCUGGGUACCCAUUCACUUCACCUUGCUCGAGUGCAGCACAGUGUGGAUAAAUGUGUUGCUGAAGGAUAACACCAUUGCUAGGAUUUGAACCCACGACCCUCUGUUUGAAAGGUGAGAGACAGAACCACUUGACCACGACGCACCCGCAAUUUACAAGCUGAUGUCAUAUCCCCACUUGUUCUUUAGUAUUUUAUAACAAGAAGUCCUGUUUAUUCACAUUUUGACCUCCAAGAACUAAAUAGUGGAGUGAAAAUGUAUUUAAUGUGAACAUAUGCAUUGCUGGAAAUCACUUCAUGAUAUGUGGGACAAAUCAUACACACGUGUAUGAAAAUAUGAAAUAUGAAUUCAUAUUAUUACAUAAGCCUAACAAAUAUUCCUGACGAUCGUGUGCACAUUUCAGUAAUAUUUCCCAAAAUGUUGCUAAACUUUCAAAUUAAAGACUUCGUUAUCAGAUUUUAAUGAAAUUGUCAACAUUAUGCUUUUCUGAUUCAUUCUCUUCCUACCUAAAUCUCCCCUUUUCUCAUGCUUUCUUUCUAUGGUCCCCUUCAUUCUCCUUAUCACUAUGUUAUAGGUAAAAUGUAAUCGGUCGUCUAACCCAUUUUAAUUAAGGGUUAGGUACUCUACUCUAGGUACUCACAUUUAAAAGUUAUGUGAUUCAAACACAAAGUGUACAUCAGACAAACAAAAAACACUGAAAAUUUCAUCAAAAUUGAAUGAGUAUUAACGAAGUUAUGACGAAUUAAUGUUGUUAUUUUUUUGGUAAAACUGUUCUCUGCAUGUCCUCAUUAAAGGACAAGUCCACCCCAAUAAAAAGUUGAUUUGAAUAAAAAGAGAAAAAUCCAACAAGCA